rnacentral:rRNA from 1 species
GACGAACGCUGGCGGCGUGCUUAACACAUGCAAGUCGAACGGAAAGGCCCUGCUUUUGUGGGGUGCUCGAGUGGCGAACGGGUGAGUAACACGUGAGUAACCUGCCCUUGACUUUGGGAUAACUUCAGGAAACUGGGGCUAAUACCGGAUAGGAGCUCCUGCCGCAUGGUGUGGGUUGGAAAGUUUCGGCGGUUGGGGAUGGACUCGCGGCUUAUCAGCUUGUUGGUGGGGUAGUGGCUUACCAAGGCUUUGACGGGUAGCCGGCCUGAGAGGGUGACCGGCCACAUUGGGACUGAGAUACGGCCCAGACUCCUACGGGAGGCAGCAGUGGGGAAUAUUGCACAAUGGGCGGAAGCCUGAUGCAGCAACGCCGCGUGCGGGAUGACGGCCUUCGGGUUGUAAACCGCUUUCGCCUGUGACGAAGCGUGAGUGACGGUAAUGGGUAAAGAAGCACCGGCUAACUACGUG